GAAAGAUGCCUGAUAAAAGGAUUAUUUUGAUGUAAUAAAUUAUGUUUUUUAACUCUUUCUUA
rnacentral:tRNA from 1 species